CAGGAAACCCCUGACAGUGUGGUGGAUCCAUCUUUCUGUGGUUCUUUCACUAAAUCUGAGCCGACGUGCAUGAUGCAUCAUCAGAGGCCGAAGAAGAUGGUAGCUUUUGAAGGUGCUUUGACUGGGAGGCGAUAUCUCGGUUGUCCUGUGCAACAGGAUGCAGGUGUCAACUGUGGGGUUGUGGAGUGGGUGGAUGGUCCUUGGCUAGAGAUUCUACAAAGGUGCCUAGCAAGGAUUUGGGACAUGUAGCAUGAGCAGAACUUGGGUAGGGUGAAGGACAAACAAGCCCAUGAGAAAGAGGUGGGCAAGCUAAAGAAGGAAAUUGAUUUCAUGUCAAACAACUACAGCCAGUUGGUGAAAGAUGUAUCCAAGCUUUUUGACUAUCAAGAUGGCAAGAUAUCUCAUGACAUGGACUAUACCAGUCAGGCAAUCAAUGAACUAAAUGAAAAGAAGAAACAACUUGAGGAUCAGGCAAAGAUUGAGAUAAGUAUGGAAAAGCUGAAGCUUGCCAAGGAGCAAAGGUGCAUUCUUCAAAGCUAA
rnacentral:rRNA from 1 species